rnacentral:sRNA from 1 species
CUAGUAGUAGCUCAGCUGCUGGUCGUAAUGGUUCGUAUUACAUCGGGCAUGAGCAAUAUAACUAUAAGCAAAGUGACUUUCAACCAUUCGUUUAUAGUCCCUAUUUGAACCAGCUUUCAUGCCACCUACCACAAUCGAUCGUCGUCUUUUUGCUGAUCAUCGCCACUGCCCAAGCUAUUGACGUUGCCUUCCGGUCAGCCCCAUUCGGAUGGAAAAGUAAUGGUAUACAUGUUGUGGAAUGGGGGGUAGAGUCUUGCGAGAUCGAAUUGUAUUAUAACCCGAUACUUCGGCUUAUUUGAAGGCGGCAUAUUGAUUUUUUCUUCCAGUCAAGUUAGAACGAUACGGGCCCCUUGCAGUAUAUUCUGACAUAUCCCAAUUCAUCUUCAAUUUUUCUCGUGACUGAUAUUCCGACGGAUCAUGAUUAUCUUGCGUACUCGCCUAACUCCGUACUUCCAUCCAGAAAUAGAUACGCACUCGCCAUCAUAUCAUCCGACAACCUGACGCUUUUCAAGGCAGAUUUUGCAGUAGAGGAUGGACGCGAGAUCAUUUCGCUCCUGCCGAAGUCUUUGUAUUUGGUGGCAGUGCAGGCGGACGGAGUAGAGGUAGUUCGAGCAGUGGAAAAUCAGUCUCUAAGGCCUGGAAGACAGGUGAUGGAGCGGAUGAUGUUGUUGGAACUCGAGGGUCCUUCAGAGUCCAGCGUAUCAGCGGCGAACGACCUGUUUUUGGAGUCAUUUUAGCCGUUGGUGCGGCUGCUGUGCUGUCGAGGUAGUCUGGGGAGUAAAAAGACAAACGUUGCGACAUUAUUAUUAUAGCAUGCG